UGGGGUUUCAUUGGGCUCAGGGAGUCUCGGUGUGCCUGAGGAUCAGGGCUCUGGGGUGGGGGUGGAGGGGGCUGCUGGAGGAGGGCCAGGAUACUCUCUGUGGGGAGGGCAGACUGGCUAUGGCUCUCUGGGACAGCUGAGCUAAGAAGGGGCAGCCUCCCAGGCGUAACACAGCCAGGAGGCCCCUGUUGUAGCCUCAUGUAUGGGUAGGGAGGGUCAGGGGGGGCCAGCUGGCAGCAUUCCCCGGGUCCCAUGCAAGGCAGGACAAGGAAGAAGGGGGCAGCACCCCGGAGGAAGGCCCUCUCCAGCCCCUGGCCACGACUGGGCCGGGGGAGGGGGGCACUGGAAAAUUUGGGCCUAUCUCAGGAGACGCCCCGGGGCCUUUGCCACAGAGCUCAGAGCCAAAGCUGGAGGCCCGCUGCUCAGCUAGCUCUGGAGAGGGAAGGACAGGCAGCCCACAUUCUCGGCAGGGGCUUUGGGGAAAGCUCUGAGAGAGUGAAAACACCUGGUCACCCACCAAGCACGUCAUGCCAUGUGGCAGGGGAGCAGGAAGAGAAGCAGAGGAGGAACAUCAACAAUGCCAGCUGAUUGCAUAACAGGCACGCUGGAAGAAACCAUUACUGGUGACUAUAACCACACCAAAGACUGACAUGACACUGCUUUUAGUGACAUUGACUAUUAUUCCACUGAUGGACACUUGUCAUGCUGACCUCUAUUGGUCCUUUAUACCUAAACCAACAUCAAGCAUGUUAACUUAUAUGGACUAAACCCCAUUUGUACAUAUCUAUGACAUCAAGUGGAUCCCACACUACAAAGACAAAAUCGAAAUAGCUAUGAUUGUUUAGACACUAACGUAUACCUUUCAUUUUGGCUGUCUGUGUUAUAUAUAUGUCAUGAGGGAAUUUAUUGUGUGUGCAUUGUAAAACUCCUACUUGUAUUGUAAGAAAUGCUACUAGUAACAAGGGUACCGACAUCGGUAUGACUCUCCAAAGAGAAGGAGAUAGAAAUGUUUCAGGCCCAGCACAGACCUAGUAACCCUGACCACAAAAAUGAUGUUUAGUGCAGGAGAUGCUGCACAGGGCUGUUUAUUGGACCGAUGGUCCUGAUGUCACUCUUAGAAAAGGGCUGAGAUGUCAGGCAAAAUGCACUUUGAAAUUCUAAUUAGGAACCCAAGUUUUUGAAAAUUGAUCAUCUACAUCCAUGUAUAGAUUAUGUUCUUGGUAAUGCCUAUGUAGACAUUAUGUGCCAACGACCAUUGCUGUAGUUACAUGUUAAUAUCAUUAUUGAUGAUUAGUCCUGGAACUCCAUCUUCUUGGGGAAUAUCUUUAUGGGGAUUCUUUCUUGCUCUCUAACUCCAGUCCCAGAAUUCAGGCAGGCCGCUGGAUUUGGGGUCUAUUAGCUUCCACUUCAAGUACUGGAAGACGUUCUGGUAUAUGAAAGUAAAGCCUCAGCAGUAAACUGAGGGCUCCAGGUUGGACAAUCUCUGUGGACGCGCAGAUGGUUGACCCUCCUGGGUGGAAUAGGUUAUUGUACACAUACAUGGAGCAAGGGCAAAGUAUUCCCUCAGUUUCCCCUUUUGGAGUAUGUAUUGAAAAUAGGAAAAAAUGAGCAGGCCACUAAUAAGCUUGUAGAAAAAGCACAUGGAAUAUUAUUCAUUGACAACUAGGAACAAUAAGUCACAUCAAACUCCAUAUGAACAAGAAGCUGUAGAAAUUGCUUCUACAUAGAAAGCAAAUCAAGCUUCUGUUAAUCCAAACAUUGGUUUGGUGGAAUGAAUUUUGCAAACAUUGGUUAUGGUAUAUUCUGGGUUAUUCUAUUGAAUGGUUCAUUUACCCAGAAGCAGAGAUUUAAAUAAGGCUCAUAUAAGAAACAUGCAGCCAGAAGGUGCAAGGUCCCUUCAGUAGCUUCAUGCGUGUUAUCUCAACAACAAAUCAAAAUGUAAUGUUUAUGGCCAUUUUGAUACUUGAAUUGAUGUUUGCACUGCUGUUUGGAAAAUGUAAAAGAUGCGAAUAUAUUUGGUAUGCGAUUCAAAAACAACAAAAAGGGGAUAAGAGAGAGUAUUUUAAGAACAUUUUAUACCAUUUUAUAACACUUUUCAUUCUAUUGAGCAAUCUUGAUUUGAUGCUCUCACUUUAUUUUCUCUGAAUACUUUGAUUCUCCUCCGUUGUUUUUCUUUUCUUACAUUUUGAAAUAUAUUUCAAGUACUUUUAACACUCUGAUGCUGAGCAAUGAAGGUGCAAAACUUUUUCUCUUGAUAUGUACCCAACAGUGUGCGAUUAUGAGAACAUGACAGCAUUUGGUAAGUUGCAGGUGACUAUCCUGGGAGACCAUCACUGAUUGCAUGAAAAGGGAAUGCAGAGGACACCUCAAUGGGCCAGACAGCCAAAGCCACACACAGACGUAUAUUCCAUAAGAGAUGGAUGGAUGUGGGCUGCUGAGGUUGGAGGUACUGGGACACGGUGUUUGACACCCUCCUUCGCAGGUGGCUCGAGUAUCAAGGUCCAACCGUAUUGCCAUGUGGCAGGCAUCUGGGCGGGUAUAUCCCUAAAAUGCAUAAUCAGGACAAGGGAGAGAAAGGAAUUUCCCCUUCACUCCAGAUACAGUCAUCUUUUCUUUGGCUAUGAAUGCUCUGGCACCUUCUUCUAAUCCUAACUGUGUGUGGGCACUAUCUGCUAAUGCACCUGUCCUAUGAUCUAUGGGACUGCUACCUCAAUAAUUCAGGAUAAUUUGAGGGAAGAUCAUUUUCUGAUUAUUUUUAUCAUUACUUUAAACUUUGAUGAGACUUUUAUCUUCGAUUUUCAUUACUAAGCAUUGAGAUCAUUUUUAUCUCUACAAUAUUAUUAAUAAGGUGAGAGUGAAAUUGUUCUUAUUGUUGACAAUCACAAUUACUUUUCACAGCCAGAGGUUUGGCUACAUAUUUUGGAUGUUUACUUUGAAUCACUUGAAGUAUCAAUUGAUGAUGCUACAUGAUUUUUCUAUUUUUAAUUUUACUCCCAAAUUUCGUUACAUUUUAUAUCACUCACCUUUCACUUCAUUUGAUUUUUAAAACAAAAAAGGGGGAUAUGUAGCAUUCCAAGCAUAUUCACAUCUAUGAAAUAUAAAUGAUUGUAUGGUUACUGUGUCUCCAGACACAAGGUGAUACUCUGAUAUUUGUGAGUGGAAUCUUGACCCGGCCACAUGCCUGUUGCCUAAGACAAACUCAUGAACAUUUUGGCUCGGAGUCGACAGCGCAGGUGGAAAUCUACACGCCCAUCAAGGUGUCACCUUCACCUCGCCAUCCAAUCUGAAUUGUCUCUGCUUUGUAUCGUGAUUGCUACGUGCUUGAGAGUGCUACCCACUUACAGCCUGCAAUAAAAACAGAAGGCGGCCCCAUGAAUUUUCUCUUGGAUCUUCACUCUGCUCUAGGAAUCUCUCCCCCCCCCCCUCUCUCUAGUAAAGCUUCUCCUCUCCUGAGGCUCCAGCCCCUCUCGGCUUCCAUUCUCUGCCUUAAUCUCUUCCUCUACCUCGUGUAGCUCUCAUAUUUUCCUUCCAAGGAGAAUGUCAUAGGGGUUUGCCUGUCCUAUUUAAACACUGA